UCGUUUGACCGGAACGUACGGAAUUCUGGGAUUUAAAAUGGCGGCAUAAUGUAAUUAUUAUUUUUCCCAAAGAAGAAAUGAUGCCGUGAUUUAAAGUUAAAUAAAGCUAUUCCACACAUACACACACGAUUUUGGAUUCAGCAAAGUAAAGUUGAAGAUCCUACAUGUAUAUUUGAGCACCCUUGGUGGCAGUAAUGACAAAGAAGUUCUAAAAAGAUUUAUAUGGGCUUUAUAAUGAUAGUUAGACAACACUACUACUUGCCAAACACUACUACUUGUCACAUAACGUAAUGAUAUAAAUAUAUAUGUAUCUAUGGUAGCACAAAUAUCAUCAGAAUGUAGGCCAAAGCUUUACAAGCAUUGUAGGCCUAAAAUACUUUCUGUCUGAACUUUUGACAGUCAAUUCUUUGAUGACUAGUUAGUUUAGAGCAGAUAUCCUGUCACAGUAUUAUAUAACAGCUCUUUGGCUUAAAGUUUAAACUGAGUUGUAUCAGUGAGUUGAAAAUCAUCUGUGUUCCUGUUAUUGCUCCCUGCUGCAGCCAGUAAACAAUAACCUUUUGCGUUCCUUACAAAUCUUCCAAUUUUUACUGAUAGAUCAACCAUAGCAAAGAUCUCUAUUAAGAUUAUAUUUGUAAUGUUUGUAACAAAUUCUAUGACAUAGGUAUAAUAUUGGUGUAGUUAAGUAUAUACCAUAUUUAUGCACACAUUUCAAUGUUGGCAUAUUAUUAGUCUCUAUCAUCUAGAAAAAAAUAUUCUAUAUUCUACGAAUAUUAGUGUGGUUGCGUUGUCAACAUUUGAGAAUAAUCGGUCAUAGGCUAGAUUAUCCGGUCUUUUACAUUAUCAUAAACAAAGUCUAAGGAAGGUAACUAGUCCUAAAACAAGAUGUUGACGCCCAUGAAAUUUAUAUAAGAAUGCCAUUUCCGAAAGUCCAUUUGAUUGCAUUGUCAGUUCAAUAUCCAACACUCUUAAUUUUUUUUUAUUGUAAAAUUUCUCUCUUCAUGGGCCAUAUCUAUGUUGUUUUUUUUUAUUGAAUCCUAAUUCGUCAUCACGAUUCAUGUUUGUUUAUAAAUGCAAGUGUUAUUGACAACUGUCCCAGGCCCUCAUUAUUUAUAUGGCCCAACUUUUCUUCGGCGUACACCGGCACGGUAUUAGACUAGGAUAACAGUCUCGAAACUCGUGGAGUUGAAAAACAUUAGUCUUAUAUACCGCCUCUACUUAAUUAUGGAUGUAGGUCGGAAAAAUGUAAAAUUUGGCAAUUUGACUUAUACUCAACAUCGACUUAUACCCUGUAUGGUAAUGUGAUGAUGCCCCCUCUUCCAGACAAGACAUAGGCUAUAACUGUUUCAAAUGACAAGUGCUAAAUGAAGUAUUUAUGUGGUCUUUGGUGAAAGAAAUGAAAUGAAAUGAAAUGGGGUUUAACGUCCUACUAUUCUGCUCCUAACCUGGGCUAAUGAAGACGAGCAUAUGCCAUACAGUGUGCUAUGAGGGAAAUUUUGCCUGGGCAGCGGGGCUACGGCCUACUCUUAUAUCGAAUUCCAACUGCCAAGGGAUCUUUUACGUGCACGCCAAUGUCUACACGGGACCUCAGUUUUUCGUCCCAUAACGACUAGACAGCUGUCCUUGUCAGUCCCUCCAUCCUGCAUCACUGACAAGGGAAACCACGCCGGAAAAUCAGGAUGAACUUACAGGGAUCGAACACCCGAUCUCCAGGCUAGCGAGCCAGCGUCUUACCCACUUAGCCACUUGAUCCCCCCCCUUUGGUGAAAGAGAGAGAGAGAGAAAUGGGGUUUACUGUCCACUCGACACAAACUAGGUCAUUUCGGGACUAACAUAUGGUUUAAUUUUUUAUUUACAUAAUUCGCUUGCGCGUAGGGGUCUUUAGGAGUGGGAGGAAACCGGAGGACCCGGAGAAAACCCAUGAAGUUGGACAGGCGACCCUACUCCUUGCCACGUACAACUGGGGAUUCGAAACCACGCCAGUCGACUCAAUGACAGACUUUAUGAUACAGUGCGCGCACGCUAACCAUUCAGCCAUCCACCCCCCCCCCUUUGGUGAAAGAAAACAGAGCUGUGGCUAGUGAAAUGAAAGUUUAACGUCCUACUGUUUUGCUCUGAACUGGGCUAAUGAAGAUGGGCAUACGCCAUACAGUGUGCUAUGUGGGAAAUUUUGCCCGGACAGUGGCACUACGGCCUUCUCUUAUAUCGAAUUCUAACUUCAAGGGCUCUUGUACGUGCACGCCAAUGUGUACAUGGGACCUCAUUUUUUUGUCCUAUUUUAAUGACUAGACAGCUGUCUUGUCUAGCCCUCUGUCCUGCAUCACUGACAAGGGAGAACCAUGCCGGAAAAUCUGGAAUAACUUUCUCGGCCAAUGCAGGGAUCGAACACCCGACCUCCAGACUAGAUAGCCAGUGUCUUACCGACUUAACCAACGUGAUCCCCGUUGUGGCUACAAUUCCUGGAUUUGAAGGUCAGGUAUGAUAUGAAACGAAUAUUUUGAACCGGUUCACCAAUGCAACCAAUCCGUGACGGGUUAACUGAUAGAGGGUUACAUCCUUGAUAUAAAUAUACUUGUCGCGGGUUUUAAAAAUAGAAAUAUAUAUAUAAAGGUAGCUCAAAAUUCAUCUCUACAUGUACAUAGGCCAAGGGGGGAUCAUGUGGCUAAGUGGGUAAGACGCUGACUCGCUAGCCUUGAGGUCGGGUGUUCGAUCCCUGCAUUGGCCGAGAAAGUUCAUCCUGAUUUUCCGGUGUGGUUUCCCAUUGUCAGUGAUGCAGGAUGGAGGGCCUGACAAGGACAGCUGUCUAGUCGUUUGGAUGGGACAAAAAAAAAACCAAGGUCCAGUGUACACAUUGGCAUGCACAUAAAAGAUCCCCUGGCAGUUGGAAUUCGAUACAAGAGUAGGCCAUAGCGUUGCUGCCUGGGCAAAAUUUCCCUUAUAGCACACUGUAUGGCGUAACCUUUUGCGUCUCUUCAAAAUAUUUCAAAUCUUUUGUCAUGGAUCAACCAUUGCAAAUAUCCGUGUUACAAUUAUAUUUGAAAUGUGUUAAACCAAUUCUGCAACACAUGUAAUAUUGGUGUAGUAUAUAUCUUUGUUUAUACACCCACAUAUCAAUUUUGGCCCUGUUUGUCCGUACACUGGGUGUGAAAUGUGAAUCAUUCCGAUUGUGAGAGGACAAGCAUUAUCAAUAUACAGCUUUUCAGGACUUUGCCUUCCUUGGUUAAUUCUCCCUUUUUCAAAUGCAAUAGAUGCUGUGUUUAUUCUUAAUUGAUCUUUUUCAAAUUUGUGUUACACACUGGAAUCAUGAGAGGACGAAACCUAUCAAUAUUCAGCAUUCCACAACAUUCCAUUCCAGUGUCGGCCGAGAAAGUUCUUCGUGAUUUCCAGACUUGGUUUCCUCCCCUUGUCAGAGGUGCAGGACAGAGGGCCUGACAAGGAGGGACAGCUGUCUAGUCGUUUGGAUGGUACGAAUGACCGAGGUCCUGUGCACACAUUGGUGUGCACGUGAAAGAUCCCUUGGCAGUUUGAAUUCGAUAUAAGAGUAGGCUUUAGCGCCGCUGUCUGGAUAAAAUUCCAUAAUAGGACACUGUAUAGCAUAUUUCCAUGUCAUUAGCCCUGUCGGAAUAGGACAUUAAACCCCAUUUCAUUUCACUCAUUCCAAAGUUAACUCCUAUUCCAUCAAUACCUUGAGCAAAUAAGAUAGAGGCUAUAGGUUUUGGCCCAAUUUGGUCAAUAUCCCAGUUUUUUCUUUCUUAUAUGCAUAUCAGCACUUUCAUAGCGCUAAUGUAGACCUUUUUCUUGAACAUUUUCCCUUGUCAGUGAUGCCGGACAGAGGACCUGACAUGGAUGGCUGACUAGUCAUACGGAAGGGACCAAAAAAACAAGGUACAGUGUAAACUCAAGUGUGUGUGUGUGAAAGAUCCCUUGGCAGUUGGAAUUUUAUAUAAGAGUACGCCAUAGCUCUGCACACUGUGUGGCAUAUGCCCGUCUUCAUUUCUCAAACAGCUGUGGAUAAAAACUGUUAAUAUUUAAAUGUGUAUUUUGUAUUUUAUAACAUUAUAUUUUUGUCUUUUAAAUAAAGUAUAUGUAUACAUA